UGGCUCAGUAACACGUGGAGAAUCUAACCUUUGGUGGAGGAUAAUCUCGGGAAACUGAGAAUAAUACUCCAUAAACAUAGGAUGCUGGAAUGCUUCUAUGUUGAAAGGCAACGCCAAAGGAUGACUCUGCGACCUAUCAGGCUGUAGUGAGUGUAAUGGACUCACUAACCUGCAACGGGUACGGGUGUUGGAAGACAUUGCCCGGAGAUGGACUCUGAGACAUGAGUCCAGGUUCUACGGAACGCAGCAGGCGCGAAAACUCCGCAAUGUACGAAAGUACGACGGGGGAAUUCUGAGUGCUUACGCCUUGCGUAGGCUGUUUUCUUGUCUAAAAAACAAGGAGAGUAAGGGCUGGGUAUGACGGGUGCCAUCUCGUGCAAUUCUGCACUUAUUGUGUUCGUUGCACGAAGCACAAGCCGCCGCGGUAAUACCCGCGGCCCGAGUGGUGCUCAUUAUUAUUGAGCCUAAAACGUCCGUAGCCGGUUUAAUAAAUUCUUGGGUAAAUCAUAUCGCUUAACGAUAUGAAUUCUGAGAACACUGCUAAACUCGGGAAUGGGAGAGGCCAGAGGUACUUUCAGGGUAGGGGUAAAAUCCCGUAAUCCUGAGAGGACCACCGGUGGCGAAGGCGUCUGGCUAGAACAUAUUCGACGGUAAGGGACGAAGCCCUGGGGCGCAACGGGAUUAGAUACCCCGGUAGUCCAGGGUGUAAACGCUGUAGAUUUGGUGUUGGAAAUCCUACGGGGAUUCCCAGUGCCGGAGAGAAGUUGUUAAAUCUACUGCUUGGGGAGUACGGUCGCAAGACUGAAACUUAAAGGAAUUGGCGGGGGAGCACCGCAACGGGUGGAGCGUGCGGUUUAAUUGGAUUCAACGCCGAGAAACUCACCGGGGGCGACCAUUAUAUGAAGGCCAAGCCAAUGACUUUGCCUAAUUUUUGGAGAGGUGG
rnacentral:rRNA from 1 species